UCUUAUAUAUGUUAAUAUUUUCAAUCUACAUUCAAAAAGCGUGAUUUUUAGAUUAAUCUGAUCGCAAAUACAAAUUAGCAAACACACCUUUUCCAUUAUAAAUAUUGUAUUAUUUUCACUUUAGUAGAAUCGAUUUCGACAAAUUGUUCUUAGCUCUUUCCAUUUUUUAAUAUUUUAAUAAAAUUUAUUUUUAGUAAUACAAUCGGCUAUUAUAGGCGGUUGGCGGUAUUAUGAACAGCACGAUAUUCAACUUGCAAAGACAACUACAGCGCAGUUUGUCAUUCGUUUACGCAGUACUGCGAGCAGCAGAGCAUUCCACAGAACAUAUAUAAAGAGAAAUGCGAGCUCUGUAUUGAAUAAUGGAAAUGGAGGAUAAUCGUCGCGCCUCAAAUGGUCUGACAGAAAACUAAUAUCCUAUAAUGUGUAUGUGUUGGAGCAUGCAACGCAAUAAACCUACACAUUCCCAGAUGGAGAGAGAGAGAGAGAGAAAUAACGUUAUUUGCAAUCAUUUUGAUAUUAGAAUGACAAAUAACGUCAGUUCUUUUCUGACUUCGACAAUCGACGAUUAACUCAACAGCAAGACUGUAUAUUGUUCUUAACCUUAUCUCUUUGUGAUAUACUUUUAUCUCUGCGUUCCUAUACUUAACUGAUAAAAGUAAUGAAAAUCUUCUAUCUAUAAUAAUAAUUCUGUUGAUUGAGCUAAUCGUCGAUUAAGUUAGGCUGCGGUCCACUUGAUGCUCCAAACGCUACGCUCCGAUUGGUCCACUAAUGUUACGAAUGCUGCAAUCGCUACGCUAGUGGACCGAUUGUAGCAUUUGUAGCGCCAUAUGAAUUUUAAUUUUCGUUGCAUGAGAUUGAUGCCAAUCUUAACUUAUACAAAGGAAAUCCGAUUCUUGUAUUGUAAUCAUAAAGAAAAUUUCAUUGUGAUGGAAUUAAAUUCAGUUCCAAUUUUAAUUAAUUUGAAUACAUUUAACGACAUAUCAACUUGUAUAUAUGAAAAUGAUGAAGAAGAAAUUCAAUUAAUAAUAAGUUGUUAAAUUUUGAAAGAGGCAAAGCAAACAAAUACGCCCAGAAUUGGCUAUGUAGAACACAUUGUCCCGUCACUUACUGCCAUGGAAUUCAAGAGUCAUUUCAGAAUGUUACCUACAACAUUUGAAUUUCUCUUAGGAGAGAUCAUCUGAGUAUCUGAAAAGAACUGCUGCAGAUGGUAAUCAAAUAAUUACUCCAGAGAAACAGCUUUUAGUUACAUUAUAGUAACACCAGAUUCGUAUAGAUCAAUAUAUAUAUACUAGAUUUGGAAUAGGAAAAGCCACAUGUAUAAGGACAGUACGACGAGUUAUAGCGAAUUAUACGAGUGUAGCGUUAUGUAUUAUAGAAUUGCUUCAUACAAUGGCCAAUAGGAAGAAGACUCGAAGAAACAAAGUUUCUCUGAUGCUAAUGGCUUUCCAGGAAUUGUUGGCGCAUGUUCAAUAUACUAGCUCUUAAGGAAAAUCCUGAAGCAUAUGUAAAUAGGAAAGGUCAUCAUUCCAUUCAAGCCCAAGUAAUUUAUGAUCACAAGCGUCUUUUCACCCACGUGUAUGUGAAAAAUGUAGGAUCUGUGCACGAUGCUAGGGUGUUCCGAUUGUCAGCCUUACAAGAUUACGUUUCUGAUUCAACAAAAUUUCCAGAUGACAGCCAUCUGAUAGGAGAUGCUGCUUAUCCACUCUUGAAGCAAUUAAUGGUGCCAUACUGAUAAUGAUCAUCUUACAGAGACAAAAGAAUUAUAUCUUUUGUCUCUCUUCUUCUCGUAUACAUGUGGAAAGAGCUAUCGGAUUAUUGAAAGAACGUUGGCGGAGCCUUCUUCAUUAUUUAGUCAUGGGAUUGAUUGAAUACAUUCCUUAUCAUGUUUUAGCGUAUUGUGUUGUUACACAAUGUAUGUUUAAUACAAAA
rnacentral:lncRNA from 1 species